rnacentral:lncRNA from 1 species
AAAAAAUUAAUAAGUUUAGUCUUGAAUACGUAAAAUGACAAUUAUUUUUGAACAAUUCAUUUGAGUUAAAGCAACAACUACGAUGAGAUGGAGGGAAUAAUAACUAAAUGAGAAAAAUAACUAAUAUUUCAUAUCUGUUAAGUAAAUGAUACCCCACGCAUCAGCCAUAUCCACAUUCCAUAGUUGAGUGGAGCAGUAUACAACAACAACAACUCAGUAUAAUCUCACUUAGUGGGGUCUGCCUUUGGGUAGAGAGGCUGUCUCCAAAUAGACCCCUGCCAUCCUUUCCUUCAAGAACUUCACACCUUGCUCUUGGGGAGACUCGAACUCACAACCUCUCGGUUGAAAGUGAGGGUUGCUUACCAUCAGAGCAACCCCUCUUGCC